ACACAUCAAUUUGUUUGCGAAACACAAUUAAACCGCAGAUGAAGAAGAUUAUUUUCACUGUGCUCAGUGUUGUUUUGUCGUGGUGAUUAUUAAUACAAUAGGUUAGAAAUGUUGCUUCGGAAUAUCUGGAGGAGUAUUAUCUGAACUGAGAUCUGCUUCUGUGAAUAUGGUGUUUGUUAAAGAGGAGAACAUGAGUGAACCAGAAACCUGGAGAAUAAAACACGAGGAACCAGAAACCUGGAGAAUAAAACACGAGGAACCAGAAACCUGGAGAAUAAAACACGAGGAACCAGAAACCUGGAGAAUAAAACACGAGGAACCAGAAACCUGCAGAUUAAAUGAAGAGGAACCAGACACCUGCAGAAUAAAACAAGAGGAACCUGAAACCUGGAAAAUAAAACAGGAUCAAGGAGGAGACCGUUACGGCUGUGGAACCUCUAGAGGUGUUGGCAACUGCUGCAGAACCUUCUGAGGCCCUCUACCCUCUCGUCACGGCUAUGGAGGCCACCUAUGAACUCACCUGUUCAUGUUUCAGUCUUACCUGACCAGACUUGAAAGUGAAAGUGACGUGACAUUCAGCCAGGUAUGGUGACCCAUACUCAGAAUUCGUGCUCUGCAUUUAACUCAUCCGAAGUGCACACAUACAGAGGAGUGAACACACACACGUUGUGAACACACACCCGGAGCAGUGGGCAGCCAUUUAUGCUGCAGCACCCGGGGAGCAGUUGGGGGUUCGAUGUCUUGCUCAAGGGCACCUAAGUCGUGGUAUUGA
rnacentral:lncRNA from 1 species